AGUAAUGCCUAGGAAUCUGCCUGGUAGUGGGGGACAACGUUUCGAAAGGAACGCUAAUACCGCAUACGUCCUACGGGAGAAAGCAGGGGACCUUCGGGCCUUGCGCUAUCAGAUGAGCCUAGGUCGGAUUAGCUAGUUGGUGAGGUAAUGGCUCACCAAGGCGACGAUCCGUAACUGGUCUGAGAGGAUGAUCAGUCACACUGGAACUGAGACACGGUCCAGACUCCUACGGGAGGCAGCAGUGGGGAAUAUUGGACAAUGGGCGAAAGCCUGAUCCAGCCAUGCCGCGUGUGUGAAGAAGGUCUUCGGAUUGUAAAGCACUUUAAGUUGGGAGGAAGGGCAGUAAGAUAAUACCUUGCUGUUUUGACGUUACCGACAGAAUAAGCACCGGCUAACUCUGUGCCAGCAGCCGCGGUAAUACAGAGGGUGCAAGCGUUAAUCGGAAUUACU
rnacentral:rRNA from 1 species